CGUUGCCUACGGGGCGCAGCAGUGGGGGAUAUUGCACAAUGGGGGAAACCCUGAUGCAGCGACGCCGCGUGUGGGAAGACGGUCCUCUGGAUUGUAAACCACUGUCCCCAGGGACGAAGAUGACGGUACCUGGGGAGGAAGCUCCGGCUAACUACGUGCCAGCAGCCGCGGUAAUACGUAGGGAGCAAGCGUUGUCCGGAAUUACUGGGUGUAAAGGGAGCGUAGGCGGGAUGGCAAGUUGGGUGUUAAAUCUACCGGCUCAACUGGGAGUCGCACUCAAAACUGCUAUUCUGUAGUGAAGUAGG
rnacentral:rRNA from 1 species